rnacentral:rRNA from 1 species
UACGUAGGGUCCGAGCGUUGUCCGGAAUUACUGGGCGUAAAGCGUGCGCAGGCGGUCUGUUAAGACCGAUGUGAAAUCCCCGGGCUUAACCUGGGAACUGCAUUGGUGACUGGCAGGCUUUGAGUGUGGCAGAGGGAGGUAGAAUUCCACGUGUAGCAGUGAAAUGCGUAGAGAUGUGGAGGAAUACCGAUGGCGAAGGCAGCCUCCUGGGCCAACACUGACGCUCAUGCACGAAAGCGUGGGGAGCAAACAGG